rnacentral:rRNA from 1 species
CAGUCGUACCGGCGGAUAAUCAGCCUUUCGGGUGCGAUUCUGUGGGGCGUGAGGAGCUUAACCGCCUUCAUGUAUUGCAUAUUUGUGCUCUUGGGUGUACUUGUCUGUGUGGUAGGUUAACAUCAAUUUCGGUCGUCAUAAAAUGAUUGGAGGAAUGUAGCUUUGAUCUCGCAUCGAAGUUGUUAUAGACUCUGGUAGAUGUGGACGGUUGGGAUUGGAGGUAUUGCAACGGGAU